UACAGAGGUCCCAAGCGUUGUUCGGAUUCAUUGGGCGUAAAGGGUGCGUAGGCGGCGCGGUAAGUCGGGUGUGAAAUCUCGGAGCUUAACUCCGAAACUGCAUUCGAUACUGCCGUGCUUGAGGACUGGAGAGGAGACUGGAAUUUACGGUGUAGCGGUGAAAUGCGUAGAUAUCGUAAGGAAGACCAGUGGCGAAGGCGGGUCUCUGGACAGUUCCUGACGCUGAGGCACGAAGGCUAGGGGAGCAAACGGG
rnacentral:rRNA from 1 species